rnacentral:lncRNA from 10 species
CACUGCAGGCUCAACCUCUGGGACUCAGGUGAUCCUCCCAUCUCAGCCUCCCAAGUAGCUGGGACUACAGGUUGCUUCUUCCAGAUCCCUUUUGAUCUACUUUCAGCUAUGGAUUCAUGAGAAUCAAGACUAAGCAGCCUGAAUUGAAGGAGUAACAGUAUCACCUAACAAUGAUUUUGCUGCCAUAGUAGCUGUUUGUAUACUGGCCAUAUGCCUAGGUAAAAUGAGGCCAGAUCACUCUCAAGAGUUUUCUAUCAGAGUUGGUGGUGAACUACUGCUCACGGAUAAUGGGUCUCACUCACUUUGUCAUCCAGGCUGGAGUGCAGUGGUGGGAUCUCAGCUCACUGCAACCUCCACCUCUUGGGUUUAAGCAAUUCUCCUGCCUCAGCCUCCCAAGUAACUGGGAUUACAGACGAGAAACCCCAGCUGAGGAGGCAAAUAUACUCAAGGAAAGUAAUAGUUUCCAAAUGCCUGGCAGUGCCAGGAAGGGGCCAUGUCCAUGGACCACUAUGUAAGGAUAUCUCAGUCUCUAGUCCAGCGUGGUUUAUGGUGCCAAAUAAGUGCCAGGUGAACUCACUACAUCUGACAAAAUCUCAAGGAACCAAGUUUACCAGAUAAUAUUUAUGAUUAUGUGAAAAAGACUGAGGAAAUCACUCAAGUGAUCCAUCAUACAGCACCUCCAGUUCCAAAGAAUACUGACUUACUUCAGCUGUACUGGUCUGGAGCUGCACAUUCUUUUCAGACAACUCUUGUUCCA